rnacentral:tRNA from 1 species
GCGGAAGUGGCGGAACUGGUAGACGCGCUACCUUGAGGUGGUAGUGAGGUAAUCAUUCCUCUUGGGGGUUCAAGUCCCCCUUUUCGCA